UUUCUCAGCAACACCGACAGCUACUGUAAGCACCGAUCUCCUGAACUGGAAACACAUGAACACUGGAAAUAUCCGAACAGGAAAACCAUACGACAGGGUUACACUCCUGGCAGUCAGCAUACAAUCCAAUUCCCCCAAUAACGAGACGACACUUCGUUUUGAGGGUUAAGCAGAAUCUCUCUGUAAUGGCCACACACUGGCUUUUAUGCACGUCCCCAUGCAAGGGGACAUCCCACAGGGUGGGACACAGUACAACCAAUCGUUUACAGGAGAACCAUAAAACACACCCACAACUACAUCACAAUCCCUCCUCUCUGUCCUGGAGAUAAGUGGGAAGUAAUCAAAUUAUCCCCAAGGACAGAGGCAAAACUCCAUUAACCACAUGGCAGACAAAGGACAAUAAAAGACAUAAAAUUACAUACAGUUACAUUUAUUCCAUAAAACAUAGACAUUCUACAUAUCCCCAGAUAGCUUAGAUCUGAGUGCACAUUACUACCAAAUGGCGCUCAGAUCACAUAAAUACAGUUCAAUCGCCAUGGAGCCAAAGUCUUUCAUACAGUCUUUCAGUAUACGGCUGGGCUCCAUGGCAUAGCUAUCUGGGGUAGCAUGGCUUUAACAGUCCGCAGAAAGGCACGAAUAAAAGUUUAAAAUGCAGGGCCAUAGUCUAAAGGGAGCAGGCGAGCAACCAGGCUUCUCCAGUGUACAGUGGCGAGGUUGGUUUCGCCACAGAGAAAUUAAAGUAUUAUUCUAGAAACAUAGAUAGAACAUAGAAUGUGACGGCAGAUAAGAACCAUUCGGACCAUCUAGUCUGCCCAAUUUUCUAAAUACUUUCAUUAGUCCCUGGCCUUAUCUUAUAGUUAGGAUAGCCUUAUGCCUAUCCCACGCAUGCUUAAACUCCUUUACUGUGUUAACCUCUACCACUUCAGCUGGAAGGCUAUU